GCAGUAGCCGCGGGAAUACGUAGGGUGCAAGCGUUAAUCGGAAUUACCGGGCGUAAAGCGUGCGCAGGCGGUUAUAUAAGACAGAUGUGAAAUCCCCGGGCUCAACCUGGGAACUGCAUUUGUGACUGUAUAGCUAGAGUACGGCAGAGGGGGAUGGAAUUCCGCGUGUAGCAGUGAAAUGCGUAGAUAUGCGGAGGAACACCGAUGGCGAAGGCAAUCCCCUGGGCCUGUACUGACGCUCAUGCACGAAAGCGUGGGGAGCAAACAGGAUUAGAUACCCGCGUAGUCCCUGUCUCUUAUAC
rnacentral:rRNA from 1 species